rnacentral:rRNA from 1 species
ACCUGGUUGAUCCUGCCAGGUAUGAUAUGCUUUUCUCAAAGACUAAGCCAUGCAUGCCUAAGUUCAUACCUUUACACGGUGAAACUGCGAAUGGCUCAGUAAAUCAGUUAUAAUUUAUUUGAUCGUACCGAAGUGGUGAAACACUUACACAUUGGAUAACUGUGGGAAACUAGAGCUAAUACAUGUAACCUGCUAUCACGGGGUAGCGUGCAUUUAUUCGCUUAGAAAACCAACACAUCGUGUGGCUAGACUGGCAUCAAUGGGCCUCUAGAAGUGAGCAAUUGCUCCUAGAUGCUCAUGCUGGUGUUACGGCAGCGGUGUUUAUGGUGAUUCUGAAUAACUGAUGCUGAUCGUUUUGGAGCCACGUGCUCACGAUAUUUCAAUCAAAUUUCUGCCCUAUCAUACCUGUUGGUAGGGUAGCGGCCUACCAAAGUAAUGACGGGUAACGGGGAAUCAGGGUUCGAUUCCGGAGAGGCAGCCUGAGAAACGGCUACCACAUCCAAGGAUGGCAGCAGGCGCGCAAACUAUCCAAUCCAGAUAAUGGGAGAUGGUGACGAGAUAUAUUGGAACUCACCGGCUUUGCCGGUCGAGUUACCAGAUCGGCCUUAAUCUAAACCAAUAACGGAUUAUUCAACGGGAGGGCAAGUCUGGUGCCAGCAGCCGCGGUAAUACCAGCUCCUGUAGCAUAUAUGCUCGUUGUUGCGGUUAAAAAGCCCGUAGUUGAAUUACGGUACGAUCGAAAGGUGGUUCUGCCAUAUGGCCGUCCUCUGCGAAUAAAGCCAUUGUGUAAGCUGAUGGGAGGUAAUGAUGCACCAUGCCGCUUGCAUCUCACGGUGUGAGAGGUGUGGAGAUAUGCAUCUAGUCUCAUCGAUGCGCUUUCAUGAAGGAAUAAGGAGGUGCGGUUUUGGGUGAUGGGCGUAACGUGUUGUAUGGGGGGUACUCCCCCCAAACUUUACUAAUGCACCCCCUUGUCACCAAGUGUAGUAAGUGUGUGUGUGAGAGAGAAGAAUGUACGAUUGUGUAUGAGUUUCGGCUUAUGCACGCGUGCCUUCUCCCUCUCUCACUAUCACAUCUCUCUCGUUUGGGUGAAUGAUGAGAGUGGAUUGCAUGCCUAUCAUCGUAUAUGUGGUGGAAACGUCAUUAGGUCGUACUUUCUUGCCCAGCCCAUGUGAUAUAUCCUUUAGUGGGUACAUGUGGCGCUAGGUAAAUUGUGCCUUGAGUAAAAUAGAGUGCUCCAAGCAGGCGAUGAUUGUGUAAAAAUUUUCAUAGCCAGAAUACUCCAGCAUGGAACGAAUUUCCAAUUGCUUGAACCACCCCACAUACCUAGUUAGUUGGUUGUGUGCUUCGCACACACACUCAUCAUAUGGCUGCGCGCGCACCUGUGUGUGCGUAUUUGUGUGGUGGGUGUCUAGGUUGUGCCCACAGAACAGUGUACCCGGUAGGUGUGUUGAGUGAGGUGGGGGGUCCGCCGAAUAAUGUGCGUGGAAUAAGUGGCAUUCGCAAUUAGAAUGUCCCCCUAAAAAGCAGAGAAGCGCGUUAUCAAGCACUCACACGUGUAAUCUUCAUGCAAGGUUGUGUGAGUGUGCGUGCUUCUCUGUGAAUAUAUAUGUAUAUAUAUAUAUAUCUGCCUUAUUCCGCCUCCGGGAAAAAAUGCGCUUUCUGUGUAUGGGUAUCGGUUAACAGAGACAUUUGGGGGCAUUAGUAUUUGGCCGCGAGAGGUGAAAUUCUUUGACCGGUCAAAGACUAACAAUUGCGAAAGCAUUUGCCAAAGGUGUUUUCAUUAAUCAAGGACGAUAGUUGGAGGAUCAAAGACGAUUAGAUACCGUCGUAGUUCCAACUGUAAACUAUGCCAACCAGGACUCAGUCCGGAUCAUUUAUAUUUAUAACAAUAUAUCACGGAUCCAGGUUGGGUCCCCAGGGAAACCUAAAGUUUUUGGGUUCCGGGGAGAGUAUGGUCGCAAGGCUGAAACUUAAAGGAAUUGACGGAAGGGCACCACCAGGAGUGGAGCCUGCGGCCUAAUUUGACUCAACACGGGGAAUCUCACCAGGUCCGGACAUCGGAAGGAUUGACAGACUGAUAGAUCUUUCAUGAUUCGGUGGAUGGUGGUGCAUGGCCGCUCUUAGUUGGUGGAGUGAUUUGUCUGGUUUAUUCCGAUUCAACGGACAUGACUGGGUUCUCUAUUUUGGUCGUAUGAAAGUUUACAUCCGUGUUAUGGCGUUGUUAUGAGUGUUUGAUGUGUGUCUGCAAUUCUCUCUCUCUCUCUCUCUCUCCUUCACAUCAUAUGCAGCAAUGUGUGUGAUGUGAGAAGAAAGCAGGAGAGAGCGCGCGCGCAUUAUACCUCUUUCAGUGUCUCCUGCUAGGCACACAAAAAGUUUGGCAUUGUACGUCCCUAGCCGUGUGUCUUUCGGCGUGAGUGGGUGCGGGUUGGCGCGUGAGGGUAAAAGCUCACACCUCGCCUAUCAGCCUUGUGUGGAGGGUAGCUGGUUCUAGCUAGCACCGAUGAAGAUGAUGUCUGUGACGGUGCGUCAGAAUAUUCUAUUCACUCACGGUGUACUCCCAGUCCGAUUCCUCAUGAGUAGUUGGUGGGUUGAGGGCCAGUCCGUAUCUCAUCCACUCAUUGAUCAUUGGCAUCGCUUGUGUGUGUCUGUGUUGAAUGUGCCUGUGGGCCGGAUUGUGUUCGUGCGCCUUCAUAGAGAGACAACCUGUGGCAAGCAGGGGGAAGUACAGCAAUAGCAGGUCAGUGAUGCCCUUAGAUGUCCUGGGCUGCACGCGCGCUACAAUGGUAACGACAGCGAGUUUCUGUACUGAAAAGUAUGGGUAAUCUUAUCAAUCGUUACCGUGCUGGGGAUUGAGCCUUGAAAUUAUUGCUCAUGAACUUGGAAUUCCUCGUAAGUACGAGUCACCAGCUCGUGCUGAAUACGUCUCUGCCCUUUGUACACACCGCCCGUCGCUACUACCGAUCGAAUGACUUGGUGAGAACAUGGGAUUGGUCGACUCCAUAUUGUGUGUUGGCCGAGAGCCUGUUCAAACUGCGUCACUCAGAGGAAGUAAAAGUCGUAACAAGGCUUCCGUAGGUGAACCAGCGGAAG